GAUGAACGCUGGCGGCGUGCCUAAUACAUGCAAGUCGAGCGAACAGACGAGGAGCUUGCUCCUCUGACGUUAGCGGCGGACGGGUGAGUAACACGUGGAUAACCUACCUAUAAGACUGGGAUAACUUCGGGAAACCGGAGCUAAUGCCGGAUAAUAUAUUGAACCGCAUGGUUCAAUAGUGAAGGACGGUUUUGCUGUCACUUAUAGAUGGAUCCGCGCCGCAUUAGCUAGUUGGUAAGGUAACGGCUUACCAAGGCAACGAUGCGUAGCCGACCUGAGAGGGUGAUCGGCCACACUGGAACUGAGACACGGUCCAGACUCCUACGGGAGGCAGCAGUAGGGAAUCUUCCGCAAUGGGCGAAAGCUUGACGGAGCAACGCCGCGUGAGUGAUGAAGGUCUUCGGAUCGUAAAACUCUGUUAUUAGGGAAGAACAAAUGUGUAAGUAACUAUGCACGUCUUGACGGUACCUAAUCAGAAAGCCACGGCUAACUACGUG
rnacentral:rRNA from 1 species